UUUUUUUUAUAUUUUUUUUGCUUGUUAUCUUUUCAUAUCAUUUUGACUUGGUCCGAUCUAUUGUAGUUUCAUGUGGUCCAUGUCGAUCAUUUUGAGUUUUAAUGUUGCAAUCCAAGUAAAUUAUUUAAAUUUAAAUGUGCAUUGGAGAUUAUAGUAGUUUCUUCACCAGAAGUAAUAUUGUAUCUUUAUUUAAAUGUCCAUUGAGUUCUAAUCUUCAUUGCUCAAGAAGAAGAAGCCACUAUUGAGAACGAAAGAUAAUAGUUUGUUUGAGAAUUUGUCUUAACUAGUGUUGUUUUGUCCUUUAUAACAUUUGGAAACUAAAGCCAGAAUAGGAGUUACAGACAUAGAAGCCACAACAAUGAAAAACAUGAUUAU
rnacentral:lncRNA from 1 species